rnacentral:rRNA from 1 species
UACGUAGGGGGCAAGCGUUGUCCGGAUUUAUUGGGCGUAAAGAGCUCGUAGGUGGUUCGGUAAGUCGGAUGUGAAAUCUCCAGGCUCAACCUGGAGGGGUCAUUCGAUACUGCCGUGACUAGAGGUCGGUAGGGGAGUGUGGAAUUCUUGGUGGAGCGGUGAAAUGCGCAGAUAUCAGGAGGAACACCCGUAGCGAAGGCGGCACUCUGGGCCGAUACUGACACUGAGGAGCGAAAGCGUGGGGAGCGAACAGG